GGAAAGAUGAAAAGAACUUUGAAAAGAGAGUUAAACAGUACGUGAAAUUGUUGUAAGGGAAACGAUUGAAGUCAGUCAUACCAACGGGAAAUCAACCUUUUGAGUUUGUUCUUGUGGGUUUCGAGGAGUUUAAAAGCCUUCUGAUUUGUGAGGAUUGGGCUCUUUUGGUGUACUUUCUCGUACGGUUAGUCAACAUCGGUUUUGAAUGUCAUAAAAUGACUGGAGGAAUGUGGCUUCGAUCUCGUAUCGAAGUGUUAUAACCUUUGGUAGAUGUGAUGUUCGAGACCGAGGAUUGCAACGGAUACCUUCCAGGCUAUUCGUCUGAUCUCUGAUACGUUGCCUUGAUGUCGAAAGCGUGCUUAUGAUGUUAGGGUAUUACGGUCAAAAGGUUAGAACGGAUUAAAUUCGUUAAGGAUGUUGACGUAAUGACUUUAAACGACCCGUCUUGAAACACGGACCA
rnacentral:rRNA from 1 species